rnacentral:rRNA from 1 species
CACCGCGGUUAUACGAGAGGCCCAAAUUGAUAGCCACCGGCGUAAAGGGUGGUUAUGAUCUCACUAAAAUAAAGUCAAAUGCCUCCAAAGCUGUUAUACGCACCCGGAAGUGAGAAGCUCAACUACGAAAGUGACUUUAAGAACUCUGACCCCACGAAAGCUGUGACA